ACCCGGCCGGGACUGCCCACUCACCAUCUAGGACGUGGAACUGGUCUGCGGCCUCGCAGAAACCUGAAGGCCCAAGCAGGGGUACAGGACGGCGUAGCCCUCAUAGUCCGUCUCUCCGACGACCACGUCCACUGCACGGGCACCUGGAGCCGGCCAGAGUCAGCCGAGUCAGCUCCUCCCCCCAGCCCCGCACCCCAUCCCUGAUGCCCUGGUCUCACCUGGAAGCAGGAAGCGGCCCGGGACUCCCACGUCUCGGAAGCCGCACGUGGAGGCCACAGCCACAAGGAGCCACGUCCCUGCAAACUAGGGGCAGGCCAUGUGAGGGCACACGGGGAUGAGGGGCUGCCUGGCCCUGGCCCCUGGAAAGCUAGGUGAGAUCCUGCCCACCCCCCUGUCCCCCUCUACCUGCUGAGCAUCAAAGUUGGCCUUUGGCGGUAUGGUGCUGAUGGGGGACGGGGGCUGAGGAGGUCUC